rnacentral:rRNA from 1 species
UACAGAGGGGCAAGCGUUGUUCGGAAUUACUGGGCGUAAAGGGCGCGUAGGCGGCCUUCUAAGUCGAACGUGAAAUCCCCGGGCUCAACCCGGGAACUGCGUCCGAUACUGGAAGGCUUGAAUCCGGGAGAGGGAUGCGGAAUUCCAGGUGUAGCGGUGAAAUGCGUAGAUAUCUGGAGGAACACCGGUGGCGAAGGCGGCAUCCUGGACCGGCAUUGACGCUGAGGCGCGAAAGCCAGGGGAGCAAACGGG